rnacentral:rRNA from 1 species
GAUGAACGCUGGCGGCGUGCCUAAUACAUGCAAGUCGAGCGAAUAGACGAGGAGCUUGCUCCUCUGACGUUAGCGGCGGACGGGUGAGUAACACGUGGAUAACCUACCUAUAAGACUGGGAUAACUUCGGGAAACCGGAGCUAAUACCGGAUAAUAUAUUGAACCGCAUGGUUCAAUAGUGAAAGACGGUUUUGCUGUCACUUAUAGCUGGAUCCGCGCCGCAUUAGCUAGUUGGUAAGGUAACGGCUUACCAAGGCGACGAUGCGUAGCCGACCGGAGAGGGUGAUCGGCCACACUGGAACUGAGACACGGUCCAGACUCCUACGGGAGGCAGCAGUAGGGAAUCUUCCGCAAUGGGCGAAAGCCUGACGGAGCAACGCCGCGUGAGUGAUGAAGGUCUUCGGAUCGUAAAACUCUGUUAUUAGGGAAGAACAAAUGUGUAAGUAACUAUGCACGUCUUGACGGUACCUAAUCAGAAAGCCACGGCUAACUACGUG